rnacentral:rRNA from 1 species
UACGAAGGGAGCUAGCGUUGUUCGGAAUCACUGGGCGUAAAGCGCACGUAGGCGGAUGUGUCAGUCAGGGGUGAAAUCCCGGAGCUCAACUUCGGAACUGCCCUUGAUACAGCACGUCUUGAGUCCGGAAGAGGUGGGUGGAAUUCCUAGUGUAGAGGUGAAAUUCGUAGAUAUUAGGAAGAACACCAGUGGCGAAGGCGGCUCACUGGUCCGGUACUGACGCUGAGGUGCGAAAGCGUGGGGAGCAAACAGG